UACGUAGGUGGCAAGCGUUGUCCGGAUUUACUGGGCGUAAAGAGCGCGCAGGCGGUCGUUCAAGUCGGAUGUGAAAGCCCCCGGCUCAACUAGGGAGGGUCAUUCGAUACUGAUCGACUCGAAGGCAGGAGAGGGAAGCGGAAUUCCCGGUGUAGUGGUGAAAUGCGUAGAUAUCAGGAGGAACACCGGUGGCGAAGGCGGUUCUCUGGGCAUGUCCUGACGCUGAGGAGCGAAAGUGUGGGGAGCGAACAGG
rnacentral:rRNA from 1 species